UAAUGGCAUCAGUUUAAUUUUUAAAAGUUACGUUUAGUCUCAGAUAAAUGGACAAGUAUAAAGCGACUGUGUAAAAGUACAAUGUCAUUUAGAGAGGCGCAAACUUGAGCCAUUACGCGCGUCAGAAAACAAACCGCUUCAGCCUAUGUGAUUGAUUACAUGUUCACUGGCUACGCACUUUAUUUGUAAUGACUUGUUUUUAGAAAAUGAUAGAUAUAGAGAAAUAUUCACAGCGUCAAUUUUUUUUUAAAGGUGUGAAAAGUUGAAAUAGCCUAAUCCUGUAAGAAUGCAGUGAUGUACGCUAUAGGGGACUACAUACAUCACGUCUCGGGGAGCAUGGUGUACUGUAGAAGUGAUUGUGCUUCCUCAUACCCAGGGCUUCUCUGAGACAUUCUUGUCUCAAAUGGCAAUAUGGGGAGGGACUGGCUGCAUAAAAUGAUACAUACAAGCAGGCUUGCGCAUCCACACUAUUCCAAUUUACCCAAUGUGACUUCUGAUGACUUUUUCUACCUGACAUUAUACAUCUGAAUGAAUGAGUAAAUGUAAUUAAAUGUUCUUGUCAAAUAGCCAGUUGGCAACCCACCCGUUAUGGGAUUAAUUUACACAUAAACAAACAUUGUAAUAAUUCAGUGAUUUAAAAAAAAUAAUGAUAAUAUUUGGGUGUUCUCUGCUCAUAACAAACCUACCCACGGGGCUCCUACGUCAAAUCAAUGUCUAUUCCACGUUGGUUCAACCGUAUUUAUUUUAAAUGACGUGGAAACAACAUCGAUUCAACCAUUGUGUGACAAGUGGGCAUAAUCAUAAUGCCUCUUUUAUUGGCCUCAUCAACUCAGCUGUUUGAAAAAACACAUGUUUAUUUUACCAGGCAAGUCGGUUAAGAACAAAUUCUUAUUUACAAUGACGGCCUAGUGGGUUAACUGCCUGUUCAGGGGCAGAAUGACAGAUUUGUACCUUGUCAGCUCAGGGGUUUUGAACUCGCAACCUUCCGGUUACUAGUCCAACACUCUAACCACUAGGCUACGCUGCUGCCCCAUGUUGGCUGCCAUGGUUACAGGGAGAGUAGAGGAAUAUUUACCUGUCUAUUGUUUAAGCUGCUAUGGUACUGUGUUUUGUUACCUGGUUACAAUACUUUCUGGCUGUCUGACGAAGGCAUAUUCUAUUCUUGUUGCAGGCUGACGUUUUAGAGUCAUGAAUUUAGCCCUGGAGGCAGAACUGAGCAUUUUCCGCUAGAUGGGCCAGCUGCAAAGUCAAAAUUGUCUACAGUACCUGUCCAACGUUUGGACACACCAACUCAUUCAAGGGUUUUUCUUUUAUCUUUUACUAUUUUCUACAUUCUAGCGUAAUAGUGAAGACAUCAAAACUAUGGAGUCAUGUAGUAAACGGUUAAACAAAUCAAAAUAUGUUUUAGAUUCUUCAAAGUAGCCACCCUUUGCCUUACGACAACUUUGCAUUCUCUCAACCAGCUUAACCUGGAAUGCUUUUCCAACAGUCUUGAAGGAGUUCCCACAUAUGCUGAGCACUGUGUUGGCUGCUUUUCCUUCACUCUGCGGUCCAACUCAUCCCAAACCAUCUCAAUUGGGUUGAGGUCGGUUCAUUGUGGAGGCCAAGUCAUCUGAUGCAGCACUCCAUCACUCUCCUUCUUGGUCAAAUAGCCCUGGAGGUGUGUUGGGUCAUUGUCCUGUUGAAAAACCUAAGCGCAAACCAGAUGGGAUGGUGUAUCACUGCAGAAUGCUGUGGUAGCCAUGCUGGUUAAGUGUGCCUUGAAUUCUAAAUAAAUCACAGACCGUGUCACCAGAAAAGCACCAUCACACCUCCUCCUCCAUGCUUCACGGUGGGAACCACACAUGUGGAGAUCAUCUGUUCACCUACUCUGCGUCUCACAAAGACACGGCGGUUGGAACCAAAAAUCUAAAUUUUGGACUCUUCAGAACAAAGGACAGAUUUUCCCGGUCUAAUGUCCAUUGCUCGUGUUUCUUGGCCCAAGCAAGUCUCUUCUUCUUAUUGGUGUCCUUUAGUAGUGGUUUCUUUGUAGCAAUUCUACCAUGAAGGCCUGAUUCACGCAGUCUCCUCUGAACAGUUGAUGUUGUGAUGUGUCUGAUAAUUGAACUCUGAAGCAUUUAUUUUGGCUGCAAUUUCUGAGGCUGGUAACUCUAAUGAACUUAUCCUCUGCAGCAGAGGUAACUCUGGGUCUUCCUUUCCUGUGACGGUCCUCAUGAGAGCCAGUUUCAUCAUAGUGCUUGAUGGUUUUUGCGACUGCACUUAAACUUUCAAAGUUCUUGAAAUGCUCUGCAUUGACUGACCUUCAUGUCUUAAAGUAAUGAUGGACUGUCGUUUCUCUUUGCUUAUUUGAGUUGUUCUUGCCAUAAUAUGGACUUGGUCUUUUACCAAAUAGGGCUAUGUUCUGUAUACCACCCUUAACUUGUCACAACACAACUGAUUGGCUCAAACGCAUUAAGAAGGAAAGAAAUUCCACAAAUUAACUUUUUAACUAGGCACACCUGUUAAUUGAAAUGCAUUACAGGUGACUACUUCAUGAAGCUGGUUGAGAGAAUGCCAAGUGUGCAAAGCUGUCAAGGCAAAGGGUGGCUACUUUGAAGAAUCUCAAAUAUAAGACAUUUAUUUAUUUAUUUAUUUUUGGUUACCACAUGUUUCCAUGUGUUAUUUAAUAGUUUUGAUGAAUUCACUAUUAUUCUAUAAUAGUACAAGUAAAGAAACCCUUGUAUGAGUAGGUUUGUCCAAACCUUUGCCUACCACUGUAUCUCUAGGGCAGGGCUGUCUAACCCUCUUCCUGGGGAUCUACCGUCCUGUCGGUUCAGUCUAAUCCUCUUCCUGGGGAUCUACCGUCCUGUCGGUUCAGUCUAACCCUCUUCCUGGGGAUCUACCGUCCUGUCGGUUCAGUCCAACCCUCUUCCUGGGGAUCUACUGUCCUGUAGGUUCAGUCUAACCCUCUUUCUGGGGAUCUACCGUCCUGUCGGUUCAGUCUAACCCUCUUCCUGGGGAUCUACUGUCCUGUUGGUUCAGUCCAACCCUCUUCCUGGGGAUCUACCGUCCUGUCGGUUCAGUCCAACCCUCUUCCUGGGGAUCUACUGUCCUGUAGGUUCAGUCUAAUCCUCUUCCUGGGGAUCUACCGUCCUGUCGGUUCAGUCCAACCCUCUUCCUGGGGAUCUACCGUCCUGUCUGUUCAGUCUAAUCCUCUUCCUGGGGAUCUACCGUCCUGUCGGUUCAGUCCAACCCUCUUCCUGGGGAUCUACCGUCCUGUCUGUUCAGUCCAACCCUCUUCCUGGGGAUCUACCGUCCUGUAGGGUCAGUCUAACCCUCUUCCUGGGGAUCUACCGUCCUGUAGGUUCAGUCUAACCCUCUUCCUGGGGAUCUACCGUCCUGUAGGUUCAGUCUAAUCCUCUUCCUGGGGAUCUACCGUCCUGUAGGUUCAGUCUAAUCCUCUUCCUGGGGAUCUACCGUCCUGUAGGUUCAGUCUAAUCCUCUUCCUGGGGAUCUACCGUCCUGUCGGUUCAGUCCAACCCUCUUCCUGGGGAUCUACCGUCCUGUAGGUUCAGUCCAACUCUCUUCCUGGGGAUCUACUGUCCUGUAGGUUCAGUCCAACCCUCUUCCUGGAGAUCUACUGUUCUGUAGGUUCAGUCCAACCCUCUUCCUGGAGAUCUACUAUUCUGUAGGUUCAGUCCAACUCUAAUUUAGCAUAUCAGAUUCAGCUAGUUAAGGUCUUGUUGAGCAGCUAAUUAGAAUCAGGUGUGUUAAAUUAGGGUUGGACUGAACCCACAGGACAGUAGAUCUCCAGGAAGAGGGUUGAACAGCCCUGAUCUAGGGUGUCUACCCACACUGCCCAGAGUGGGUGAAAAAUGUACUUUGCUGUUGAAAUUAAACUUCAUGUUAUAAAAUACAUUUUACUGAGACAAAUAUGAUUUUUUUUUCAUGUUCUGAAUCGUUCAGUGUGGUCUUUCUCUCUAACAUAUCAACAUCUACACCCAGAUAGCCUGAUUUCGUAACCUAAUACAUCCCAUAAUAAGCACCGAGAAAUAAGCUUUGAGUACGGAACAUUUCUGGGAUCUUUUAUUUCAGCUCAUGAAAGAUGAA